CUCCUGACACAUUGGUCGACGCGCUGACUGUGGUGACUGUCAUCAGCAACGAGGAAACGGUCAUUCCACCUUUCGUGGACUCAGCUGGAAGACUACAUCAGAAGGUGCUGAAGCCAAACUGUGGAGCAGCCAGAGAGCUUCCUGUGAAUGCAGCCAUGUGAGCACUUGGACGAAGUCCCAGGCAGCAACAAGUCACAUCCUCUUCAUUGCUGGUAAUCUGAAGGCGGGUAAGGGACACCUGAGAUGACUUGCAGCAACCACUCCUUACAUCACGUCUUGACAGCCAUCCAGAGCAGCGAGAGGAACAAGAUGCACGAGGGGUUCUCAACGAGAACAAAUAAAUUUCAACUGGUCAAAGAAAUGUCACCAGUCUUGGAGAACCUGAGUCCAGCAUUCCCACACAGCUUGGACUGACUCAUGAAGCAAUCUCCUUCAUUAAGGCUGGCUUCCGGUCCAGGCCUUCCUCUCAUCCUGGUGCGCUCCUCAGCUGAAGGACAACAUCCAGAAGGUGACAACCGAAGUGGGGGAUGAAUUUGAGGAGCCAACUUUGGCUGAGGAACAUGUUCAGCUUCUUGCGAAGGCUCAGUCGCACAUCCUUUCCCUGGUCACAACACACCGGUCCACGCUCUCCUCACGAUGACUGGUGACGAUCGACAGUGAUGAGGAAAUUGUUGUCUGUGACUGCUUGGUGAAGUGGACCUGUCAUCCAACACUGAAGUUGAUGCUUUUAACAGCUGAGGAACAUGUUCCGUUUCCUGCGAGGGCUCAGUCGCAGAAAAAACAAGUUGCACAUCCUUUCCCUCGUUCCCGUGCUCUCCUCACGAUGACGAGGAAACUGUCGUCAGGGACUGUCUGGUGAAGUAGACCUGUCAUCCAACACUGAAGUUGACUCUUUUAACGGUGCUGGGGAACAUGGUCAGUGUCCUGGCAAUGCAGAUGUGCGAGCACUUGGACAGUCCCAGAAAACAAAUUUCACACCCUUUUCAUCACUGGUCUGCACCCUCUUCCCACUGGCCGACGACUUCACCCAACAU